rnacentral:lncRNA from 1 species
GAUGGAAACAGCCACCAUGUUGUGAGGACACUCAAUUAGCCUUGUGGAGAGACCCACAUGGGUGAGAAACUAAGGGCUGCCACCAACAGCCCACAUCCACUUGCCAGCUCUGAGAGCAAAUAGAUCCUGCAGGCCUAGUCAAGCCUCAUUUGACUGACGCCUCAGUCAACAUCUUGACUGCAAGCCCAUGCAAAACACUGAGCCAGAAACCACCCACCCAAGAAGCUGUGAAUUCCUGACUGGCAAAAAAUGCUGAGCAGAAAACCAGGAAAUGGAUGGACUCCACCUCCGCAGCCACGCCUGCCCGUUUGCGCUUACUGAACAGAGGUCCUCAGGAACGUGGUGCUCCACUGGAGGCUGCAGGUGGAUUAUCUUGUUUAAUCCUCACAACUUCCUAAUGAGAGCCCCUCUUCUUGGGCCUGCGAUUCCUCACCUGGAAGGGAGAAGAGUGGACUUCCUGCCUAGAGAACACCUUGGUAAACUCUUUGUGGUUCCUGUCAUGAGAAGGUGUGCAGCUUAGGGAAAAAGCCUGUGAGCUCUGGAAUCAGAUGGAACUGGAUA